rnacentral:lncRNA from 1 species
UCUUCACCAUCCUAGACCAUACUAGGUAGUUACUGCCCUUGAAAGUUACCGCAACCUUCAUCUUGGAACCACUCUCCAUCUUCAACAGUUUCACUUCAAUAACUUGUAAAAGACUUGAUCUUGAGACUUAGAACUACAACACCAGCUCAAACCCUUCUGUGCCUUGUCUUUACUCUUCAAAGAACCCUCAAAAAGCUAGAUAAGACUUCCGGAAUGAAGAUGUAGCUCCCGGGAUGCA